rnacentral:rRNA from 1 species
UACGGAGGAUGCGAGCGUUAUCCGGAUUUAUUGGGUUUAAAGGGAGCGUAGGUGGGCUGUUAAGUCAGCUGUGAAAGUUUGCGGCUCAACCGUAAAAUUGCAGUUGAUACUGUCAGUCUUGAGUACAGUAGAGGUUAGCGGAAUUCGUGGUGUAGCGGUGAAAUGCUUAGAUAUCACGAAGAACUCCAAUUGCGAAGGCAGCUGACUAGACUGUUACUGACACUGAUGCUCGAAAGUGUGGGUAUCAAACAGGAUUAGAUACCCUGGUAGUCCACACAGUAAACGAUGAAUACUCGCUGUUUGCGAUAUACAGUAAGCGGCCAAGCGAAAGCGUUAAGUAUUCCACCUGGGGAGUACGCCGGCAACGGUGAAACUCAAAGGAAUUGACGGGGGCCCGCACAAGCGGAGGAACAUGUGGUUUAAUUCGAUGAUACGCGAGGAACCUUACCCGGGCUUAAAUUGCAAAUGAAUAUAGUUGAAAGAUUAUAGCCGCAAGGCAUUUGUGAAGGUGCUGCAUGGUUGUCGUCAGCUCGUGCCGUGAGGUGUCGGCUUAAGUGCCAUAACGAGCGCAACCCUUAUCUUUAGUUACUAACAGGUCAUGCUGAGGACUCUAGAGAGACUGCCGUCGUAAGAUGUGAGGAAGGUGGGGAUGACGUCAAAUCAGCACGGCCCUUACGUCCGGGGCUACACACGUGUUACAAUGGGAGGUACAACAGGCAGCUACACGGCGACGUGAUGCUAAUCCCCAAAACCUCUCUCAGUUCGGAUUGGAGUCUGCAACCCGACUCCAUGAAGCUGGAUUCGCUAGUAAUCGCGCAUCAGCCACGGCGCGGUGAAUACGUUCCCGGGCCU